rnacentral:rRNA from 1 species
CUUCGGUGUCCGAGUUGUAAUUUGAAGAAGGUAACUUUGGAGUUGGCUCUUGUCUAUGUUCCUUGGAACAGGACGUCACAGAGGGUGAGAAUCCCGUGCGAUGAGAUGCCCAAUUCUAUGUAAAGUGCUUUCGAAGAGUCGAGUUGUUUGGGAAUGCAGCUCUAAGUGGGUGGUAAAUUCCAUCUAAAGCUAAAUAUUGGCGAGAGACCGAUAGCGAACAAGUACAGUGAUGGAAAGAUGAAAAGAACUUUGAAAAGAGAGUGAAAAAGUACGUGAAAUUGUUGAAAGGGAAGGGCUUGAGAUCAGACUUGGUAUUUUGCGAUCCUUUCCUUCUUGGUUGGGUUCCUCGCAGCUUACUGGGCCAGCAUCGGUUUGGAUGGUAGGAUAAUGACUAAGGAAUGUGGCUCUACUUCGGUGGAGUGUUAUAGCCUUGGUUGAUACUGCCUGUCUAGACCGAGGACUGCGUCUUUUGACUAGGAUGUUGGCAUAAUGAUCUUAAGCCACCCGUCUUGAAACACGGAC